rnacentral:rRNA from 1 species
GACGAACGCGGCGGCGUGCUUAACACAUGCAAGUCGAACGAAGAGCGAUGGAAGCUUGCUUCUAUCAAUCUUAGUGGCGAACGGGUGAGUAACGCGUAAUCAACCUGCCCUUCAGAGGGGGACAACAGUUGGAAACGACUGCUAAUACCGCAUACGAUCUAAACUCGGCAUCGAGGAUAGAUGAAAGGUGGCCUCUACAUGUAAGCUAUCACUGAAGGAGGGGAUUGCGUCUGAUUAGCUAGUUGGAGGGGUAACGGCCCACCAAGGCGAUGAUCAGUAGCCGGUCUGAGAGGAUGAACGGCCACAUUGGGACUGAGACACGGCCCAGACUCCUACGGGAGGCAGCAGUGGGGAAUCUUCCGCAAUGGACGAAAGUCUGACGGAGCAACGCCGCGUGAGUGAUGACGGCCUUCGGGUUGUAAAGCUCUGUUAAUCGGGACGAAAGGCCUUCUUGCGAACAGUUAGAA